AUGUACGCGCACCAACUGCUGCUGAUGCUUUACUGCGGCGCUCCACCGACGGUCCCGCGCUGCCCUGUCACCCGCACCUGCCAGCCUCUCCCAUCCGCCUGGCCAUGCUCGCCCGCGCCGCUCGAGCUUCCUGCACGUGCGCUCGCCGCAGCUGCCGACGCUGCCGCCGCCCCUGCUAGUCCUGCGCACGCCCGCCGGAACCCUUGCCGCCGCCUCCGCCUGCCACUAGAUCCGACAACGUGGCCCGGGCCGCAUCCGGCCGUGCGCGGCGUUGCCUGGCCGCCUCCGCGCCAUGCGGAUGACUGCUGCUGCUCUGAACGUACUACUGCUGCUGAAUGCUACUGUAUCUAUGAAUAG
rnacentral:rRNA from 1 species